rnacentral:rRNA from 1 species
GGAGGAAAAGAAACUAACCAGGAUUCCCCUAGUAACUGCGAGUGAAGCGGGAAGAGCUCAAAUUUAAAAUCUGGCGGUCUUUGGCCGUCCGAGUUGUAACCUGUAGAGGCAUUUUCCGCGUCGGACCGUGUACAAGUCUCCUGGAACGGAGCGUCAUAGAGGGUGAGAAUCCCGUCGAUGACACGGACCGCCGAUGCUUUGUGAUAUGCCUUCGAAGAGUCGCGUUGUUUGGGAAUGCAGCGCAAAAUGGGUGGUAAAUUCCAUCUAAAGCUAAAUACCGGCGAGAGACCGAUAGCGAACAAGUACCGUGAGGGAAAGAUGAAAAGCACUUUGGAAAGAGAGUUAAACAGUACGUGAAAUUGUUGAAAGGGAAACGCUUGAAGUCAGUCGCGUUCCGUGGAACUCAGCCUUGCUUCGGUUUGGUGUACUUUCCAUGCGAACGGGUCAACGUCAAUUUCGGUCGGUGGAUAAAGGUGAGGGGAAUGUAGCGUUGCUUCGGCGACGUGUUAUAGCUCCUUGCUGUAUACAUCGGCCGGGAUUGAGGACUGCAGCACGCCGCUUGUGGCCGAGGGUUCGCCCUACGUACCGUGCUUAGGAUGUUGGCAUAAUGGCUUUAAGCGACCCGUCUUGAAACACGGACCAAGGAGUCUAACAUGCUUGCGAGUGUUCGGGUGGAAAACCCUUGCGCGUAAUGAAAGUGAAAGUUGGGUGCCCUCGAGAGGGGGUGCACUGACGCCCGGCCCUGACGUUCUCUGCCGGUGCUGCGGUAGAGCAAGUGCUUUGGGACCCGAAAGAUGGUGAACUAUGCCUGAAUAGGGCGAAGCCAGAGGAAACUCUGGUGGAGGCUCGUAGCGAUUCUGACGUGCAAAUCGAUCGUCAAAUUUGGGUAUAGGGGCGAAAGACUAAUCGAACCAUCUAGUAGC